AUGGAGCGAACAGCCAGAGACUUGCGCAUUUGGAGCAGAUCGCUCUUUGGAGAGGCCAAGCUCCAGUUCCACAUCGCCUGUGAAGUAAUCCUACGCCUCGAUGUCGCUCAGGAGCGGCAACAGCUCACGCCGGCUGAGGCCGAGCUUAGAAAAGGGCUGAAACUCAGGUUGCUCGGUUUGGCUGCGAUUGAGCACUGCAGAAAGAGGCAGGCUUCAAGGCUGACCUGGCUGCGAUCGGGGGACGCAACGACAAAGUUCUUCAUGGCCAAAAUCAACUCAAGAAGGCGCAAAACUUUUAUCCAUGCCCUGAAGAUCAACGGCUCCAUCACCACCGCACACGAAGAGAAAGCAGAAGCCAUCCACGAUCGUUUCAGCGACAUCCUCGGAGCCACCCAACACCGCCCCACCUCGAUCAACUGGAGCCAACUUCAGAUGCCACAAAUUCAGGGAGGAGGUCUCGAUAAC
rnacentral:rRNA from 1 species